UACGUAGGGUGCGAGCGUUAGUCGGAAUUACUGGGCGUAAAGCGUGCGCAGGCGGUUCGCUAAGACCGAUGUGAAAUCCCCGGGCUUAACCUGGGAACUGCAUUGGUGACUGGCGGGCUAGAGUAUGGCAGAGGGGGGUAGAAUUCCACGUGUAGCAGUGAAAUGCGUAGAGAUGUGGAGGAAUACCGAUGGCGAAGGCAGCCCCCUGGGCCAAUACUGACGCUCAUGCACGAAAGCGUGGGGAGCAAACAGG
rnacentral:rRNA from 1 species